rnacentral:rRNA from 1 species
AACGAACGCUGGCGGCAUGCCUAACACAUGCAAGUCGAACGAACCCUUCGGGGUUAGUGGCGCACGGGUGCGUAACGCGUGGGAAUCUGCCCUUUGCUUCGGAAUAACUCAGGGAAACUUGUGCUAAUACCGGAUGAUGUCUUCGGACCAAAGAUUUAUCGGCAAGGGAUGAGCCCGCGUAGGAUUAGGUAGUUGGUGGGGUAAAGGCCUACCAAGCCGACGAUCCUUAGCUGGUCUGAGAGGAUGAUCAGCCACACUGGGACUGAGACACGGCCCAGACUCCUACGGGAGGCAGCAGUGGGGAAUAUUGGACAAUGGGCGCAAGCCUGAUCCAGCAAUGCCGCGGGAGUGAUGAAGGCCCUCGGGUCGUAAAGCUCUUUUACCAGGGAUGAUAAUGACAGUACCUGGAGAAUAAGCUCCGGCUAACUCCGUG